rnacentral:rRNA from 1 species
GGCUGCCUAACACUGCAAGUCGAACGAACCCUUCGGGGUUAGUGGCGCACGGGUGCGUAACGCGUGGGAACCUGCCUUUAGGUUCGGAAUAACUCAGAAGAAAUUUGAGCUAAUACCGGAUGAUGUCUUCGGACCAAAGAUUUAUCGCCUUUAGAUGGGCCCGCGUUAGAUUAGAUAGUUGGUGGGGUAAUGGCCUACCAAGUCGACGAUCUAUAGCUGGUCUGAGAGGAUGAUCAGCCACACUGGGACUGAGACACGGC